AAGUACAAAAUUUUGAGUACCCUUGACAUACCGAACAACACGUUUCAAGAGACCCCAAUGAUCAACGGACGGUGAGUGCAUGAACUGACAGAGUCGAUUGACAGCAAAAGAGAG